rnacentral:misc_RNA from 1 species
UCCUCAUUAAAAUGAGGCAGUCUGUCCAGAGUGCUUCGAACUCUCGUUCGAGUGGCAACAGGACACAGGGGUUGCGCUCGUUGCGGGACUUAACCCAACAUCUCACGAUAUGAGCUGAUGACAGCCAUGCAGCAUCUGUGCAAGCUGGUAUUGCUACCUCGUCACCCUUUCAGGCUUCUACUACUUGCAUGUCAAGGCCAGGUAAGGUUCUUCGCGUUGCGUCGAAUUGAACCACAUGCUCCACCGCUUGUGCGGGCCCCCGUCAAUUCCUUUGAGUUUCAGCCUUGCGACUGUACUCCCCAGGCGGCAUAUUUAACGCGUUAGCUCCGGCACGGACAGAAUGAACUGCCCACACCAAAUAUGCAUCGUUUAGGGCGUGGACUAC